rnacentral:rRNA from 1 species
CUCGUAGGCGGCCAACUAAGUCGGACGUGAAAUCCCCAGGCUCAACCUGGGAACUGCGUCUGAUACUGGAUGGCUUGAAUCCGGGAGAGGGAUGCAGAAUUCCAGGUGUAGCGGUGAAAUGCGUAGAUAUCUGGAGGAAUACCGGUGGCGAAGGCGGCAUCCUGGACCGGCAUUGACGCUGAGGAGCGAAAGCCAGGGAGCGAACG